GACGAACGCUGGCGGCGUGCUUAACACAUGCAAGUCGAGCGGUAAGGCUCCUUCGGGAGUACACGAGCGGCGAACGGGUGAGUAACACGUGAGCAAUCUGCCCUUCACUCUGGGAUAACUUCCGGAAACGGAAGCUAAUACCGGAUACGACCGCCUCAGGCAUCUGAGGUGGUGGAAAGUUCCGGCGGUGAAGGAUGAGCUCGCGGCCUAUCAGCUUGUUGGUGGGGUAAUGGCCCACCAAGGCUUCGACGGGUAGCCGGCCUGAGAGGGUGACCGGCCACACUGGGACUGAGACACGGCCCAGACUCCUACGGGAGGCAGCAGUGGGGAAUAUUGGACAAUGGGCGAAAGCCUGAUCCAGCAACGCCGCGUGAGGGAUGACGGCCUUCGGGUUGUAAACCUCUUUCAGCUCCGACGAAGCGAAAGUGACGGUAGGAGCAGAAGAAGCACCGGCCAACUACGUGCCAGCAGCCGCGUAACAC
rnacentral:rRNA from 1 species